rnacentral:rRNA from 1 species
GACGAACGCUGGCGGCGUGCCUAAUACAUGCAAGUUGAGCGCUGAAGGUUGGUACUUGUACCAACUGGAUGAGCAGCGAACGGGUGAGUAACGCGUGGGGAAUCUGCCUUUGAGCGGGGGACAACAUUUGGAAACGAAUGCUAAUACCGCAUAAAAACUUUAAACACAAGUUUCAAGUUUGAAAGAUGCAAUUGCAUCACUCAAAGAUGAUCCCGCGUUGUAUUAGCUAGUUGGUGAGGUAAAGGCUCACCAAGGCGAUGAUACAUAGCCGACCUGAGAGGGUGAUCGGCCACAUUGGGACUGAGACACGGCCCAAACUCCUACGGGGGGCAACAGGAGGGAAUCUUCGGCAAUGGACGGAAGUCUGACCGAGCAACGCCGCGUGAGUGAAGAAGGUUCUCGGAUCGGAAAACUCUGUUGGUAGAGAAGAACGUUGGUGAGAGUGGAAAGCUCAUCAAGUGACGGUAACUACCCAGAAAGGGACGGCUAACUACGUG